CAGUCAUGCUAGUGAAAAAUCAGUUUGACGGGUUUUGAGUUCGGGAGUAGAGGCAGGGUCAAACCGUUUCUCUUUUGGACUUGGGAUUUGUCGGAUGUACUUUUUCUUUGGCAGGUCAGCGUCGGUUUCGGAGGUUGUAAAAUACUUGGGGGAAAGUAGCUCUGCUUCGGGAGAGUAUUAUAGACCCUGGGGGAUACAGCCUGUGGGAUCGAGGAUUGCAGCAAAUGCCUUGGCUUGCCGCCUGAUCUCUGGAUGUUACCUCGCUUGUGAC
rnacentral:rRNA from 1 species